UAAUACAGAGGGUGCAAGCGUUAAUCGGAAUUACUGGGCGUAAAGGGCGCGUAGGUGGUUAUUUAAGUCAGAUGUGAAAUCCCUGGGCUUAACCUAGGAAUUGCAUUUGAAACUAGAUGGCUAGAGUAUGGUAGAGGGAAGUGGAAUUUCCGGUGUAGCGGUGAAAUGCGUAGAUAUCGGAAGGAACACCAGUGGCGAAGGCGACUUCCUGGACCAUUACUGACACUGAGGCGCGAAAGCGUGGGGAGCGAACAGGAUUAGAUACCCUGGUAGUCCACGCCGUAAACGAUGAUAACUAGAUGUUAGGGGGCUUAGACCUUUUAGUAUCGCAGCAAACGCGUUAAGUUAUCCGCCUGGGGAGUACGGCCGCAAGGUUA
rnacentral:rRNA from 1 species